GGUGGGUCAAAUGGUGCUUUUCCUUUUCUGUCAUCCAAUUGCAUACCCUUAAAAGCAACCUCCCUGAAGACAGUCUCACCCUUCAGGUUGCGUUCUUCCUAGAGCUGAUGGCACUUGAUAACAACUCCCCCAUUCAGUUGGCCCCUUCAUCAGUUAGCAAUUCUCCAGCCGCACCGACCAUUGCACCUCCAGCCACUCCAGGCAGCAGCGAUCCUCCGGCUACUCCUGGAGCAGGAGGUGAUCCUCCGGCAGUUCAACCCGUCACACCUCCGGCAGUUCCAGAUCCAGAUCCGGAUAGUGAGAACCGUCAUGACCCCAAAGCAUUUCUUCGUGACCCAUGAUGUUGUGAGCUGAGCUCGAAUCAUGACCAGUCUUAGGGUCCAUUAACACCGACAGUGGCUAUUUGGCAAAAUUGUGUUCCAAAGUGCAUUAAAUUUGGAAUUUGAGUAUCACAACAUAAGAGACCUUACCAACUAUGUAACCAUUAUUACUACGAUGUUGCAGAGUUAUAUUAUUGUAAAAAAAAAGUUAUUUGGGCAUACAAGUUUAGCAAUUGGACCUAUUAUUAACUUGUGCAUGCUA